rnacentral:tRNA from 1 species
GCCUCUGUAGCCCAGUUGAUUAGAUCUCUGCAUUGGAAUCGCAGGGCCGUAGGUUCAAUUCCUACCAGAGGAC